ACGAGGGGAAAGGCUGCAGUUGCAGCCGGCCGGAUGGAGGUCAAAUAGUAGGAAGCAUUUACUGCCCGGGGCAGAGUGGUGCGGUCUCUAGUUUCCUCUUGCGGUUUGGUAGAAAGAGAACAGAAGCUGUUGAGUUGCCGUUGACCUCAGGCCGUAAAGAAAGCUGCUGCAGCUCCAGGCAUCACAUCUUCCCACUAAUGACCCAAGCAGAAAGGAAGGGAGCAACGAGGGCUUUCUUCUGUUGACGCUCCGCCCCCAGAAUGACUGGACACCUCCCCCAAUCAACUGAACCCCAGAAGUUUUUUGGACCACUCAGAGCUGGGGGAGAAAUGGGGCAAGACUGGGAAGAGUCCUAGCCCUCAAUUCUGACCUCAAAGACCUCGUUCCAACGGGGAUUGAGAUCUUCCUGAACAACACGGCUCCGGAAGCUUCGUCCUCCCAGCUUUAGUUUGACAUAGGGGUCUGACUUCCCCUUCACUAAUCCCCCCAAGAAACGGUCUUUGGCAAUCAGGUCCUGGGCCUCUAAUACAUGGAUCCGAAGCACAUUCUGCAAAAGGAACAGGGUUUUUGUUUAUUUUUUGGCUGUGCCUCAUAGCAUAUGGGAUCUUAGUUCCCUGACCAGGGAUUGAACCUGUGCCCCAUGCAGUGGGAGCACAGUCUCAACCACUGGACCACCAGGGAAGUCUCCUUCUCUUCUUUUAAAAAAUAAUUUUUUGAGGCAUAAUUUACAUACCACAAAAAUCACUCAUUUUAAGUGCACAAUUCUUAGUUAUAAAAAUGAUUCUAGAGAGACAGGUGGGGAACCGUGGAGAGUAGAAGAGGUGGAGAGUCUAGGUAGAUGGACUGAAAAUAGAGAUCAUGGAAUUCCCUGGUGGUCCAGUGGUUAGGACUCCGUGAUCUCACUGCCAAGGACCUGGAUUCCAUCCCUGAUCAGGGAACUAAGAUCCCGAAAGCCACACGGCACAGCCGAAAAAAAAAACAAAAGAAAAUAGAGAUCAAAGGAGAAGAUGGAGAGAAGAAAUGGUGCAGAUCUGAGAAGACAGAAUAGGGUAUCCAGGAGGGACUGAUAGGUGAUUCUCUCACCUGCACAUCGAGCUCCUGGCUUCGAGGGUCUUGCAGGAAGAACCGGAAGGCCUCCUCCCACACCGGGCCGUUGGUGUUAUAGACAGCCUAGAGAUGUGCAGGAUGUGAUCAAGUGAAGGAAGGCGGGCUGUCAUCAGAAUCCUUCCCCUGGGGCCUCCCUGGUGGCGCAGUGGUUAAGAAUCCGCCUGCCCGGGACUUCCCUGGUGGCGCAGUGGUUAAGAAUCUGCCUGCCAAUGCAGGGGACACGGGUUCGAGCCCUGGGGCAGGAAGAUCCCACAUGCUGCAGAGCAACUAAGCCCGUGCACCGCAACUACUGAGCUUGCGCUCUAGAGCCCACGAGCCACAACUACUGAACCUGUGCACCUAGAGCCUGUGCUCCACAACAAGAGAAGCCACCACAAUGAGAAGCCUGUGCAGCGCAACGAAGAGUAGCCCCCGCUCGCCACAACUAGACAAAGCUCGUGCACAGCAACAAAGACCCAAUGCAGCCAAAAAUAAAUAAAUUAAAUAAAUAAAGAUUAUAAGAGAAUAUUAUGAACAACUUUAUACAAAUAGUUAGAAAACAUCGAUUAAAUAGAUAAUUUAAAAAUACAACUCACUAAAACCAAUUCAAGAAUUUUAGUGAGAUUAAAAAAAAAAAAAAAGAAUCCGCCUGCCAGUGCAGGGGACACGGGUCUGAGCCCUGGUCCGGGAAGAUCCCACAUGCCGCGGAGCAACUAAGCCCGUGCGCCACAGCUGCUGAGCCUGUGCUCUAGAGCCUGUGAGCCACAACUACUGAAGCCCAACGUGCCACAACUACUGAGCCUGCAUGCCACAACUACCGAAGCCCACACGCCUAGAGCCCGUGCUUCGCAACGAGAAGCCACGACAAUGAGAAGCCCGCGCACCACAACGAAGAGUAGCCCCCGCUCGCUGUAACUAGAGAAAGGCUGCACACAGCAAUGAA